GGGUCAGUAGGUUGGUCGUGCCACCGGUACGUAGUGGUCUCACUGAUUCCUCCUUCCUGAAGAACCGUAAUGCCAUUAAUUUGGUGUUGCGGGGAAACAGGACUGUUACUUUGAAAAAAUUAGAGUGUUUAAAGCAAGCUAACGCUUGAAUACAUUAGCAUGGAAUAAUGAAAUAGGACGAUCGAUCCUAUUUUGUUGGUUUCUAGGAUUGACGUA
rnacentral:rRNA from 1 species